GGAGGGAUACCGAAGCGGUCAUACCGGGCUGGUCUCGAAAACCAAGCACCACGCAAGUGGUACGGGAGUUCGAAUCUCCCUCCCUCCGCCA
rnacentral:tRNA from 1 species